UUCGACAAAGUUAUCAUGAUUCACCGCAACACCGGGCAAGCCCGCAUCGGCCUUUUAUCUAAUAAAUACGUCCCUUCCAAAAAAGUCGGGAGUUUGUGCACGUAUUAGCUCUAGAAUUACUACGGUUAUCCGAGUAGCAAGGUACCAUCAAAGAAACUAUAACUGAUUUAAUGAGCCAUUCGCAGUUUCACAGUACAAAAGAGUUAUACUUACACAUGCAUGGCUUAAUCUUUGAGACAAGCAUAUGACUACUGGCAGGAUCAACCAGGUAGCUCUUCCUCCUCCCCCCGGGGCUCGGACUAUAACCGUCUUUACAAAAUUGGCCUUUUUUUUCUUUUUUCCUUUCAUCGAUGACACCUUCUUUUUCUUUUUCACGAUGCGUCAGACCUCCCCGGUUUUUUCCCUUUUCGGGCACACACACCCCCCAAGAAGAAACCAAAACACACCAUCAUUCACGUUCCAAAAGGGGGGUCCUUCCCCCCCUCUCUCACUCUCCCUCUCGAGAUACCUGUUCCGGUUCGAACUGUGCUGUGUCGAACUUUAGCACCACCCCCUUUUCCCCCCUUCAACACACCCCGCACAAGACUCUGUGCGCCCACCUCCUGGAACUGGAUAUGAAAGCCCAAGGGGCCCUUUUCUUGCCCUGUGCAUGGUCCACCAUCCGAAGAAAUGCUGACUAAUGCUGUGCCUGUGAAUGGCAGUGGACGAGAUAAGGAAGAUGGACACCCCAACCUCCCCCCCCCCUCCGACCCCCAAGUUCGCGACCCGCUCGACGGACAACCCCAGGCUGACUAACAUGAUGAGGUAUCACCUCCAGAGAAGUCCCCUCCGGUUGGAGGGGCUCCGCCUCGCUACUAGCUUUCCGGUGCCUUGCAGGAAAUGCCGAACCCCACCCUUCCAUGGAUCCCGUCGUGAUCUACAACAAACAUUGAAACAUAAUACGCACCCCUACUGCGCCGCGUCUGUUUCCCGGAAAAACUACUUGGAGCUGAUUGAAUUGUGCUAUCCGUCCUUUGAGGUCCCCUCCGAACGCCAAGAGAGCCUAGCCACGAAAACCCGUUCGAUGGUACCGAACUAGUAUUAUAUGGCCUGUAUCUCUCUCCCAACAUCCGGCUGGAACAAACCCCCCAGAACUUCCUGCGAAGUUGACCCCUCCAUCACCUCAUCCGAUCGAUUUCAUCCACCUCUCGCCUCCUACCUCCGCACCACCUGAAGUACAUUCUAAGCCCUGGCCCCCAAACCUUGACGGAGAGGGGGGUCGAUAGUCCACUUCUUAAGCAAUAGUCCGGUGGGGGAGAAACGGCUAACCCGCACCUUAUAUUGACAUAGGCUAGCAUAUGGAGUAACCCUCGUUGAACCAAGGCCCCCCGACCCGCUUUGGCUGAUCGGGGGUUCCGGGAGCAAAUUCUGGUGGGCGAGUACAGUGGAUCCUAGAUCGAUCGAACAAGGUAACUUCGAAAACAAACUCCCGAAUCUUUCCCAAACAGCUCUUCCAUAGUUUUCCAGUCCGCAGCACGACUCAGGUUUGGAUGGGCGAAAUCACGACGGCAGCCACAAAAAAAUGGAUCUCCGACAUCACACAACCCGACACACCUAAGUUUCGCGAGGCUCGGCCCCUCUUCCCCUUCGGAUGUCCCCUUCGGUACACCACCACAUCAUGCCAUCCAGUCUGGAGCGUCGCCGACUCCCGUUGGCCAAGGUAGGGCCAACACAAGAGUAGCGGACGAACCAGUCAUCUGGUCUUACCGGAGAAAGGGAGAGGUAGACUGCCACCACCAAACCCCACCCAAGCACACACCAGGCAGCAAAAAGCCAUCAUCCUAAAAGAUGGUCCCACUUCACAAGACGAGGAGGUUCCCCGUCUUCAUUCCAACCCCAGGUGAGAACACACACACCCUUCUUUGCGAUGGAUAAAAGGCAAAAAGAGAGGGCAAAAAAGCCAACGGCAAAUUCCAACCAGACCCCCAGAGGCACACACCACAAAAAGUGAAGCCAGAGAGAGCCAGACAAAGAGAAGGAUAGAGAGAGAGGGAGAGUUAGACCCCCCCGGAAGAGAAUCAUAGGUGCUGCGGCCUUUUUCGGGAAUGUGACCAGGAAAGAGAGAAACCGACGAGGCCGAUACACACAUUAAAAAAUGAAAAAGUAACCAUCACCGCGAAGGAUUUUCCUCAAAAGACAAAUCAGCAAGAAGUAUGUCCAAUCCCGGGGCCCAUCGCCCCUCCAAAUUAAUGGAGGGGUCGGAUAGAAAUUUAUAGAAAUGUUACUUUUGUGAACCCCUAGCCGACGAGAGACUCUCACCGGUUUCGAAGUUCCAUUUUCACAUUCCGACCUGGGAUGUUAUGACUCCUCGCCCACACUGCGAACGCGUCCCACACCCCCUCCAAGUUAUCAGGAAUUUCACCUGAGCUUGCAAUAGAGAUCGAGCGCGGUGGCGGUCACAGUGGUGGUCGACCAGGCGGAGCUGAACGGCCUCGGCAAACACUUCUCCCCACCCUCCCAAAUGAAUGAGAGAAUGGCUUGACAAUACCGAGGCCAUCGCCCCCCGCCAAAAAUGGUUACUAGCUCUUGGACUCGCUGCGACGUUACGCGUAUCGGCACAAGACCAACCCUCUUUUUCCAGUCGCCCGCGCACCAAAAAAAAUUUUGGCAGCGGGACUCACAAUCCUUGACAGCCAGCUCACCAUAUAUACUCGGCGACCCUCCGCGGGACCUCCUCAGAGGGUCGCGUCGCCGGGAAACUAACCCCCACUCCUCACUGAUCCAAGUAACACGCCAGAAGUAUCCAGGUAACCCCAGUAGUAUCCAGGUAUCCCCCCUGCGAACGUCGGUACUGGGCUCAAGAAGGCAGCGAGCAGUCGGGACCCGUAGGCACCGAGCAACCGUCACCCCCUCACGACUUUUCCCGAGACGCUUCAGAGGAACCCUUCCCCCACAUAGUACUCUCUGUGGGAUUCGGCAGGCCCCCCCGUCCUACUGCACUAAGGAAGUUCCGAGACACACUUUUUUUUGUGGAAGACCACCCACCCUCCCUGUCCUGCCUGCUAUCCCCGCCGCGACUCCUGGUCCCGGCCCUCCUCCCCGACUUCCUCCUUGUCCCGCUGCGAGUCCCGGACCUCCUCCCCCACUACCUACUCCCGCCGCGAGUCCCAGUCCCGGCCUUCCUCCUCCUCCUCCUCUUCCCUAGUCCCGGCGCGAGUCCCGGACCUCCUCCCCCACUUCCUAGUCCCGUCGCGAGUCCCGGACCUCCUCCCCCUCUUCCUAGUCCCGGCGCGAGUCCCGGACCUCCUCCUUCUCUUCCUUGUCCCGCCGCGAGUCCCAGUCCCGUCGCGAGUCCCGGACUUCCUCCUUCUCUUCCUUGUCCCGCCGCGACUCCCUAGUCCCGUGGCGAGUCCCGGACUUCCUCCUCGACUCCCUAGUCCCGGCGCGAGUCCCAGUCCCGGCGCGAGUCCCGGACUUCCUCCUCCUCUUCCUUGUCCCGCCGCGACUCCCUAGUCCCGGCGCGAGUCCCAGUCCCGUCGCGAGUCCCGGACUUCCUCCGCGACUCCCUAGUCCCGGCGCGAGUCCCAGUCCCGUCGCGAGUCCUCCUCCUCUUCCUUGUCCCGCCGCGACUCCCUAGUCCCGGCGCGAGUCGACUCCCUAGUCCCGGCGCGAGUCCCAGUCCCGUCGCGAGUCCCGGACUUCCUCCUCCUCUUCCUUGUCCCGCCGCGACUCCCUAGUCCCGGACUUCCUCCUCCUCUUCCUUGUCCCGCCGCGACUCCCUAGUCCCGGCGCGCGCGACUCCCUAGUCCCGGCGCGAGUCCCAGUCCCGUCGCGAGUCCCGCCGCGAGUCCCGACCUCUUGUCCCGCUCCCUUGCCCAAGUCCCGACUCCUCCCUUGCCCAAGUCCCGACUCCUGGCUGUCUCGACUCCUCGUUGGCCGCCCAGUCUUCCGCAUAGGUGGAAAUAAAUAAAUAAAUCAUUUUUUAAAAAAUCAAUUUAAAAUUAACUCCCUGUCUCGACUCCUUGCUGGCCGCCCAGUCUUGCGCCUAGACAGAAAUAUAAAUAAAAAAUAAAAAUAAAUUGGUGAAUUAAAAAUAUUAAAGUAAUUUAAUUAACUGGAAUAAGGUAGAAAAAUAAAAGGCAGAAGAAUACUAAAUUGAUUUUUUCAAGUGCCACGUGUUACCUUGCUGAUGUGGCUGCCACGUGGUAGUCCAUGUCAUGUCAAAAAUCCACUAAAUCGUUUACAUGUCACUUUGGAGAUAAAUUUGUGUGUGUGCAAUCAAUUGGUUGUACAAAUAUGUUAAUGACUUGCUAACUAAUGCAUCGUACAGGUAAUCAUUGCCCACUAACUAAUCCAUCACCACUGAAACUUAAUGUCUUCAAUUCUUCAUCCUUCACACUCCACAUCCAAUUUAUUUUUGUUUGUGUGAAUUCUUAAAUCUAUCUUCUCUUUACAUACUCCAAGCCCAACUUUCUAAACCCUUUAUAUAAUCUAUGUGAAUCCUAGAAUCUAGGUUUAUAUACCCCAUGCAAACCCUAAAACCCUAAACCCUAAACCCUAACCCCUAACCCCUCAACUCAUACUUUGUUCUUUUAAUCAUACAACCUAGACUCUGAAAUUUUAAUCUCAUAACAUAUAAACUAGCAUUGUAAUUUCAAAACCCAACAUUUUGUAUUGUGACAAUACUUGUUUGCAAAUAUGCAUCCUUCAUUUACUUUUAUUUUUUUAACACUACACUGUGCCACAUCAGCACCAAAUAGAUCAAAUCCUUGAUAAAUUAACCUCUAACAUGUAAAUAUUAUAUUCUCCACCCUUUCAGCUUUUAUUUUUAUUUUUUUUAACUUUUUGAAAUGCCACGUCAGCUACCUGGCUGCCCCGUCACAUGACAAAUGCUAAGUGGACUGCCAUGUCGGAGAAGAAGAUGCCACGUCGGAGAAGGUUCAAGCGGAUGCAAAUGGAUGCAGCACCGGGACUUCCCGGGAGGUCACCCAUCCCAGUACUAUUCCGGCCCAAAGGCGCUU
rnacentral:lncRNA from 1 species